rnacentral:misc_RNA from 1 species
GAAAUGCGAUACGUAAUAUGAAUUGCAGAUAUUCGUGAAUCAUCGAAUCUUUGAACGCACAUUGCGCCCUUUGGUAUUCCAAAGGGCAUGCCUGUUUGAGCGUCAUUUCUCCCUCAAACCCUUGGGUUUGGUGUUGAGCAAUACGCUAGGUUUGUUUGAAAGAUGUUACGUGGAAACUUUCUUAAGCGACUUAGGUUUAUCCAAAAAAACGCUUGCUAUUAGUGGCCACAACAACUUUUUUUAAACUUUUGACCUCAAAUCAGGUAGGACUACCCGCUGAACUUAA